rnacentral:rRNA from 1 species
CGGCUCUCGCAUCGAUGAANAACGUAGCGAAAUGCGAUACUUGGUGUGAAUUGCAGAAUCCCGUGAACCAUCGAGUCUUUGAACGCAAGUUGCGCCCCAAGCCUUCUGGCCGAGGGCACGUCUGCCUGGGUGUUACAAAUCGUCGUCCCCCUCUUAUUCAAU